AUGCAGCCAGGGCAGUUCCCACCGGCUCCCUGCUCAGGGUGGGACCCCUUGCUUGGCGGGGGCCACUGGAAUGACACCUGGCCAAAUAUUAAUUACUGUUGCUUCCGAGGUCCCACCAGUCACAGCGGUGGCGAGCCCUGCCCAGGAAGUCCAAAUAAUCGGCAUCGCUGGUUGAGAAAUCUAAGGAAAUUGCCCGAAGUCUCAACCUGGCAAGAGACAAGGCUGGGACACUUUCCACUAAUGGCAGGAUCCACCCCCACCCCCCAAUCCAGCUGUUACAGAAGUGCAAAUACUACAAGGUGGGGCACCCAGCCAUGUGCACAGACCAUCACAACUGUUCAAAGGCUUGGGUAA
rnacentral:lncRNA from 1 species